AGCGAACGCUGGCGGCAGGCCUAACACAUGCAAGUCGAACGAUCCUUCGGGAUAGUGGCGGACGGGUGAGUAACACGUGGGAACGUGCCCUUUGGUUCGGAACAACUCAGGGAAACUUGAGCUAAUACCGAAUGUGCCCUUCGGGGGCAAGAUUUAUCGCCAUUGGAGCGGCCCGCGUCUGAUUAGCUAGUUGGUGAGGUAAUGGCUCACCAAGGCGACGAUCAGUAGCUGGUCUGAGAGGAUGAUCAGCCACACUGGGACUGAGACACGGGCCAGACUCCUACGGGAGGCAGCAGUGGGGAAUCUUGCGCAAUGGGCGAAAGCCUGACGCAGCCAUGCCGCGUGAAUGAUGAAGGUCUUAGGAUUGUAAAAUUCUUUCACCGGGGACGAUAAUGACGGUACCCGGAGAAGAAGCUCCGGCUAACUUCGUGCCAGCCGCCGCCGUAACAC
rnacentral:rRNA from 1 species